GAUGAAGAACGUAGCGAAAUGCGAUACGUAAUGUGAAUUGCAGAAUUCAGUGAAUCAUCGAAUCUUUGAACGCAUAUUGCGCUCUUUGGUAUUCCGAAGAGCAUGCUUGUUUGAGUAUCAGUAAACACCUCAAAGUCUUUUUUUCUUGAAGAAAAAGACCUUGGACUUGAGCAAUCCCAACUCUUCUUUCAGAAGAGGCGGGUUGCUUGAAAUGCAGGUGCAGCUGGACAUUCUCCUGAGCUAAAGCAUAUUCAUUUAGUCCCGUCAAACGGAUUAUUACUUUUGCUGCAGCUAACAUAAAGGGAGUUUGACCAUUUUGGCUGACUGAUGCAGGAAUUUCACAAGAGUCUUCAAAACGCUCUUGUUAAACUCGAUCUCAAAUCAAGUAAGACUACCCGCUGAACUUAAGCAUAUCAAUAAGCGGAGGA
rnacentral:misc_RNA from 1 species